rnacentral:rRNA from 1 species
CCUACGGGAGUCAGCAGUGAGGAAUAUUGGUCAAUGGCCGGAAGGCUGAACCAGCCAUGCCGCGUGAAGGUCAGUGCCCCAUGGGCGUUAAACUUCUUUUGUGCGGGAGCAAUAAUGGUCACGUGUGGCCAGACGAGAGUACCGUACGAAUAAGCAUCGGCUAACUCCGUGCCAGCAGCCGCGGUAAUCCGGGGGAUGCAAGCGUUAUCCGGAUUUAUUGGGUUUAAAGGGUGCGUAGGCUGUGAGGUAAGUCAGCGGGGAAAUGCCCCCGCUCAACGGGGUGAAGUGCCAUUGAUACUGCCUUGCUGGAGUGCGGAUGCCGUGGGAGGAAUGUGUGGUGUAGCGGGGAAAUGCAUAGAUAUCACACAGAACACCGAUUGCGAAGGCAUCUCACGAAUCCGCGAUUGACGCUGAUGCACGAAAGCGUGGGUAUCAAACAGGAUUAGAUACCCCAGUAGUC